GUAAUAUAUGCUAAUGAGCAAAAAGUGGACAAAUCUGUCAUCAUGUUUUCCUCCUGACUCUACAGGUGAUGAAGGAGUUAACUACAUGGCUGUAGCAACUGAUGUCAUGAGCUGUAUCUACAGAUAGGGUUUGGCUUAUGCCACUUUAGUUCAUUCUACACUUUAGCAGGAGUUGACAUGAUCUGAUUCCUUAUAAUACUGCUUCACUCACUGUACUGGAUUCAAGCAUGAGGAGACAGAUCUUCAUCAUUCUGACUGUGUUACACUCUGUGUCAGGUCAGUCACAAAACAAAUAUGUUCAUCUGACCUGUUCAUUAAUCCAGGAGAAUAUCAUAUACUGACCUGCAACCAUAAUAUCACAUCCUACGACACUAUAUUGUGGUAUCAACAAUCCAUUGAAGACACUUCCCUGAAACUCAUUGCAUAUUUAUAUUACAAAAGAGCGGCUGUUGAAAGUGUUUUCAAGGGUCACUUUAACAUUUCUGGAGAUGGUGAGAAACACUCUGCUCUUCAUGUCUCCAAACUGAGAGCUGCUGAAGACAGUGCUGCGUUUUACUGUGCAGUAAGUCGAGCACAGUGCUAUGAGUGCCCUCCCUCCUCUACAAAAACAUCUACCUGAAGCAGGACCAAAGUUUCAUAUUUACUUAUUUAUUAACAACUUUAGAAUAAACAUUGAGAUGGAGGCAAUAAUGAAAUAUGUCAUAUUUAUAGAUUAGAAUAGUACAAGAAGUAUCCAGUAAGAAGAAAAUCCAGUAAUAUUUGUUAAUUAUGCUCCAACAUGAAACCUACAGUAUGUUCAUACUUUUGACUUUAUCAUUGCACUGGAACUCAUGUAUCUUAAAGUCUUUUAAAAUACUG
ensembl:lncRNA